rnacentral:lncRNA from 1 species
NAGGUUCUUCCCUUNCNACCUCAAUUGGAUUUUCACCAGUCAGCUUGCAGAAUAGCUUCCUUGCCUCUGUUGGAGUUAUGUGCAGAAAAGAUCCACCAGCAGCUACAUCCACAAAUAUCCUUUCAUUGCCUAGGAGCCCUUCAUAGAAGUAAAGCAAGAGCAUAUGCUCAGGGAUCUGGUGAUUCGGACAAGCUGAGCAAAGCCCGUUGAAUCGCUUCCAAUAUUCUGCUAGGCUUUCUUCUUGAAACUGCGCAAUGGCAGUAAUCUCCCUCCUAAUGCUGCUUACCUUUGCUGUUGGGAAGAACUUGUUGAGGAAUCCUUGUUGUGUUUCCUGCCAGCUAUCAAAAGGACGAUACCGCUGAUCUAGGAACUAGUCUUUUGCUGCACCUUAAAGAGACAUUGGAAACACUUUCAUCCGUACUUUCUCCUCUAAAACACUAGUAGGCCUCAUGGAUGAGCACACCCAACUAAACUCCUUGAGGUGCUUGUGUGCAUUUUCAUGUGCCAGCCCAUGGAACUUGGGAAGCCUCUUGAUCA